rnacentral:rRNA from 1 species
GACGUAGGGGGCCAGCGUUGCUCGGAAUUAUUGGGCGUAAAGGGUUCGUAGGCGGUUCGGCAAGUUAGGUGUGAAAUCUCUGGGCUUAACCCAGAGGCUGCUUCCAAAACUGCUGUGCUCGAGUGUGGGAGAGGCGCGUGGAAUUGCAGGUGUAGCGGUGAAAUGCGUAGAUAUCUGCAGGAACACCCGUGGCGAAAGCGGCGCGCUGGACCACUACUGACGCUGAGGAACGAAAGCUAGGGGAGCAAACAGG